rnacentral:rRNA from 1 species
AUAGAGACUCAGAGCUGCAUAUCAAUAAGCGGAGGAAAAGAAACUAACAAGGAUUCCCUUAGUAACGGCGAGUGAAGCGGGAAGAGCUCAAAUUUGAAAUCUUCAAGGUUCUACCUUGACGAAUUGUAGUUUAAUAGAAGUGUUUUCUGUUAGUAGAGUGGCAAAAGUUCUUUGGAAUAGGACAUCAUAGAGGGUGAGAAUCCCGUAUUUGGUCAUUCUUUCUAGCUUUGUGAUACACUUUCAAAGAGUCGGAUUGUUUGGGAAUGCAGUCCAAAAUGGGUGGUAAAUUUCAUCUAAAGCUAAAUAUUGGCGAGAGACCGAUAGCGAACAAGUACCGUGAGGGAAAGAUGAAAAGAACUUUGAAAAGAGAGUUAAACAGUACGUGAAAUUGUCAAAAGGGAAGCGUUUGACACCAGUGUUGUUUUUCCGAAAAUCAAUUACGAAUGUUUUGUUUUUGAGGAGUUAUGACUUCAUCGGCUUGCUUCUCUCUUUAUGAAACUUUCUUAAUGCACUUUUCGGUUAACAAGUCAACAUCAAUUUCUUUUGUUGUAAAAGGGUAUGAGGAAGGUGGCUUUCUUUUCGGAGAAAGUGUUUAUAGCCUUUGUACCUUCUGCAAUCGGAGAGAUUGAGGUCUGCAGCGUAGAUCCUUCGGGGUUAGAUGCAUUUGUGCUAAGUUAUAGCCUUUCAUAGACAACUUGUUGACUAUGAUCAGUCAUGUAGCUUACUCGCUUAUGUCAUUUUACCUACGCUUAGGAUGUUGAAGAUAUGCGCGACACG